rnacentral:rRNA from 1 species
CCUACGGGAGGCAGCAGUGGGGAAUUUUGGACAAUGGGGGCAACCCUGAUCCAGCAAUGCCGCGUGUGUGAAGAAGGCCUUCGGGUUGUAAAGCACUUUUGUCCGGAAGGAAAUGGCGCUGGUUAAUACCCGGCGUUGAUGACGGUACCGGAAGAAUAAGCACCGGCUAACUACGUGCCAGCAGCCGCGGUAAUACGUAGGGUGCGAGCGUUAAUCGGAAUUACUGGGCGUAAAGCGUGCGCAGGCGGUUUGGUAAGACAGGCGUGAAAUCCCCGAGCUCAACUUGGGAAUGGCGCUUGUGACUGCCAGGCUAGAGUAUGUCAGAGGGGGGUAGAAUUCCACGUGUAGCAGUGAAAUGCGUAGAGAUGUGGAGGAAUACCGAUGGCGAAGGCAGCCCCCUGGGACGUCACUGACGCUCAUGCACGAAAGCGUGGGGAGCAAACAGGAUUAGAUACCCUGGUAGUCCACGCCCUAAACGAUGUCAACUAGUUGUUGGGGAUUCAUUUCUUCAGUAACGUAGCUAACGCGUGAAGUUGACCGCCUGGGGAGUACGGUCGCAAGNUUAAAACUCAAAGGAUUGACGNNGAGAGNGCGAGACGACGACGAGGAGAGG